rnacentral:rRNA from 1 species
GUCUAUAGCCAUACCACCCUGAAAUGCACCUAAUCUUAUCUGAUCUCAGAAGCUAAGCAGAGUUGGGCCUGGUUAGUAUUUUUA